CCCUAAAGGGGUGAAAUGGGGGUUGGAAGAUUAUGUGAAAGUCACAUGUUUUUGAAGUUUGAGGUAUGAAAAUCGGUAUUUAGGUAACUAGCUUUAAAGUGAUAAAGUGAGUGAGUAGUUAAGUGAGGCCUUUUGCAGCGGGAAAAUUUCUAACUUCAUUGGAAACCAGAAAUUUUACGCAGACGAAGUCGCAGGCAACUGCUAGUAAUAAUAUAAUCAGCACCACUAAUAUUAUAAAUGUGAAAGUGUUUCUUUAUUGGU